UGCAUAUUGAAUUCAGGAGGCCGCUUACUAUGUAGGAAAAUAGUAAUCUUUGGCCAAGUACACCAUUGCAAAGGAUGUAGAGGUGAACUCUCAGCAUGAGCUGGCACUGAUCUGAAGCACACAGCUAGACAAAAAAAAGUCCUUCUCCAGCCUCAGCUGGCUACUGUAGCAGUUCUUGAGGAAGAGCAUGUGGCAUCUUCUAUGAAAGCUGCUAACGCAGAGGGGAAAAAAAAGAGGAAAGGUAUCAUCAAGGCAGCUGCCACUCAUGGCCGUGGCUGCCUUUGCUGUGAGCAGCCCUGCCCUGGAGAAGAGCAUCUGGGAAAAGGCAGACAGCUUGGGAGAAGUCAGAAAAAAGUGAAUGUUACUAAAAGAAUACAACUUCUAAAGCCUAAAUGUAUUUCAGAAGAACUGGACAACAGAUAUUCUGUAGGAAUAUGGGAAGGGAGUUAGUGGAAUUAGAUGGAUCAGUUGAAAAGUUUUAGAUUAGACAUCUUAAGAAACACCUUACCCUGAGAAGAAAGAGCUGUAGCUUCACCUGUAACUGUUAUACAAGUCAUGGGCUUUGAACUGGUACACGUACUGCUUUUCUUUUUCAAUGUGGACCACUCUGGGUGAAGAUGAGAUGUUUUUGCUAAUAUCAGAAUAUUUGGCUUUUAUAUCAGCUGCACUUGAUACUGUUGAGUAUAGCAGGACGCUUGAUAAGGUGGAUGUCGUGCCCUGAGUUUCUGCUCAGAGCAAUAGCCUUAACAUGUUACUCCAGGUUAUUUUGUCAGAGGCUGAUCUUAGAAAGCAUUCUGUUGCCCCGGUUUUUCUCUGACAGCAUUUCUUUCUUCAGAUCUGGAAGCAUUUAUUUUCUUCUAGUGCCUGAUAUCAUAGGAACUUGAAUGAGAAACUUAGCCUAGGAAAUACUAAGCCGAGACAAGAGGCAUCGUCUAGAAGAGGACUCACUGUAGUGUUAAUCUGGCCACCCUUUCAAAAGAGAUGCAGACUUCCUGGUAUCACUGGAAAGCCACUUCCCCCGCUGUUUGGGAUUGCCCAAGGGAAGUUUGUUUCCUGUUUGCAACGUUGUGACUGUUACUACUGAACUGUGAACUCACAGAGAAGUUGAUCUGGUAAAGGCUGAGUUUCCAUAAGGUACUCCACAGAAGAUACUGACACAGUAAGCCUAUGGGAGUUUUCUACUGUGAUGAAAUGUGUAACCACAUGGUAAGCUGUAACAGCUGCAGUUAAAUGUGAAAAUGAAGCUUGUGUAUUAAAAUAGUCCUGAUAAAGAUCCAGUACGAUAAAAGAUGUUGCACUGCACAAUUAAUUGUUUGACAUGGGGUCUGAACAAGAACAACAUCUUUAGUCAUAUGACUAACAGGUAGCAGCUAAUUAUGGGUAAAUCAUCAAUGCAACAUUGCUACAACAAUAAGGACAGCCUAAACAAAGGAAGUUCUCCCUUAAUGUGGAACUGUUUUAAUCUCGUGGUAUGCUAGACUCUAGCAAAAUACAGAGUUUCACUAUGCAGUAUUAGCAUGUUUUCUUUUUACUGUAAUUCUUCUAAUAUUCUUUAUAUUACUCUGCCCACAUUGGCAUUUUGAAAUUAAUUUUUCAAUGUAGUGCUCAUUUAAUAGUCACUGAAGAAUAAAAUCAUCAGAGCUAUAGUAGCACUUGUUUUCUAAAAUGUCAGUCUACCUAAAGUGACAUAGAAACUCACACUAGUUUAAUAUUUCUUUAUUUCACUUGUUGAAAUUACACCAGUAUUCUAAAUGGACUGUGGUGGUUAUAUUUAUAUGCAGGCAUUCAUGAACAUCUAUUUUAUUUAAUUUCUACAUGGGAAAAGACCCUUAAACAUUCAAAAAUACUGAAUGAAGAAAGAAGUGUUUUAACUCAUGGUUUUACCUAUGUUUAAAAUAUUCAAAAUGUGUGCUAGUACAAAUCUUGAUUCCCUACUCUCUGGGGCAUAAUAGCUGGGUACAAAUAAUCAGCAACAUGUUUGCAGGCAUUGGUUUCACAAAGCUACCUUUCAAAAAAAGUAUUUUAACAUACUAACAGUGGGAUACAGUCUGUGAAACAGAGAUUAAAAAUGUCUUUGUUGUGAGACCAAUUGAAUUAUAAAUUUAGAUGGGAAAAGUUACGUUAUCAACAAGAUAGAUUUUCACUGCACAAAAAUAGAUUCAAUGAAAUAUGUAAAAGAUCUCCAUUUAUACCUGAUAGGAAACGUAAUUUCCUCUUACACACCCACACAGCUACUGUUGAAGUGUGAAUUGCCAGGUCUUCCAUUUCAUGGCUAGUCAUUAUUAGUACAUAUUUAAGUAGGGUUGAAAUAUAACAAAACAAAUGUAAGCUUACUGUCUGGUUCCUUCAGUACUGGAGAAAUGUUACAGAAUUUUAGUAUUCAGAUCAAGCAGUAAAUCUGCUAUAAACCACCAGAAGAUACUCCAGCCAAGAAAAAACUUGGUAGCUACCACAAGAGACUUUGCUGGCUUUCAGCAAGUGCUGAGAGGGAGGGCAGUACUUUCCCAGUGGUAGCUGCUAGAGCACCAGUUUUCCUUCUGCUUUCCAUUCCAGAUGUGCUAUAUGGAAGCCUGAAAAUCUGUUCCUUAAUUUGCAGCUCCCAAUAUGCUGAAGCCUGUGAAACAGUGAUAAGGAAGUUAUCAAAGAAGAAACCUGGAAUUCAGAAAUGCAUAUGUAGUUCCAACAAGAACAGGAUAAUAAUGAAACGCCUUUGUACUAAUGGAAGAUCAAGCGUCAAUCAAUGUUAAUAGUCUUAAUGAAAGUUCUUACAUGAAUUGAGAAGCCUGAAUAAAAAUAGGAGGAUCAAGAAUAGUUGAGUAAUUGUAUUUUACUAGCAGCGUAUCAAACACAUCAAAACAUCAAGAUUUGAACAAAUUCAAAAUACAGAGGUGAGCAAGGAAACAGAAGUAGCAUUUUUGUAAUACAUCAUUUAGGGCUGUUUUUCUUAUCUCCUAAAUCAGACAUAAAACUUAGUGCUUAAACAAAAAUGUGGGGGGGGACAGGACAGAGAGAAAAAUGAAUGGUGUCUGUUGUAAUCACUCUGUUACACCAUGUAUAUGCCCUACCCUGGAAUAUACCCCUGCCUUCUCAUCCACCCCUCGUAUCUUCCUGGAAAGUGUGAUGGUUAAUGAUACAAUGUGUAGUGAAACAAUUUCUCCCAUACGAAUUAAAAGGACAGGUUCAUGGACUAAAGAAUUAUUCAUAAUCAUGAGUAAUGAUCCAAUAAAUCAUCCAGUUGGAUGAUGGAGAGCAGGAUCAUCAACUGGAUGAGAUUCUGGCUUUUCAGGGGCUAGCGAGGAGCAACUUACUCUUCUGAAAGAUCCCAGCAACUUCGUCUGGAGACUGAACAUCCAAGCACAUCCCAUUGACUGAUUGAUCCUGACAUAUCUGAAGAUCACGAUUAUGAAAAUGUAUAGAACACAGGACUGACACCAGUGGCAUAAGCCUGAUGAUCCAUUUAUGGUUUCCAAAUGCAGUCCUCCCUCUUGCUGUGUGAAUGGCCAUGCCAGACUGGUCCCACAGCUCAAGAGUCACUUAGUACAUAAUUCAGCUUAUUUUGAAGGAAGGUGGUCAUCUGAAAUAAAUGCUGAGGCACGGCAGGGGUAUGUAAUGCAAUAGUUUCUCCUUCAACAUGACACCUAGAUGGUGAUGCUGUAUGCCUGUUUCAUGUGAAGCUUUUCACGAUGCAUGUUAUAUGCACUCUGAGCAAGGGGGAUUUAUUUUUUUUGGCAGUGACUUCAGCGUAAUCAGCAUUGGCUCCUGUACACAGACAUGGCCCCUGGGCUUGUCACUGCGGUGUUGCAUGCUGACAUGUCCCAUGGAGCUCACUGAAACUUUUUCAACAGUCUCUUUCAUGGCCUACCUGUAUGUCAGAGGUUUUGGGACAAGGAUCAGAUACUUCCCAAAUAUGAAGGAAACCCAUAAAAAUCAAAAGAUAUACUAUAACAGAAUAAAACUAUUACAUCGUGCAUUGAAAUUAAUUGAAAUUAAGUUUCCUGUUUAUACAUAGAGAAACAUUCUUCAGGUAAACAGGGGAAAUACUAUAAUAAAGUCUUUUUAAAAAAGUAGAACAUUAGCUGUCUUUCAUUAGGAUAGUAAUAAAAAAAGGUACAUAUAUAGGGUGAACCAGUGGAAAGCAGAGUAUCUGGCCAUGCCCCAGAAGAUAUAUUUACUGGAGAGAGUUGUAUGUAUUUUGUCUAGACACAUACACAGAACUAUUUUUAUUUUUAUCAUAGCCAUGGUGAGAAACCCAUACUGAUGUGGGGAUAGAUUCAUCUUCCUAGUGUGGAGUGUGACACAUAGGUAAUGGUUGCUCUUGCACAGUUUGGCGUUUUUGACAGAUACUUCCUUUUCUAUUAACUCUAUAUCUCCUCUCCUUUAUAGUAAUACCACAAGUAGUUUUUUUAAGGGGUGGGGGGAAAAGCAGCAUGCCAUUAUAAAUCCAUCUACUCUAAUUAGUGGUUACAAACACAAAACUCCUUCAUCAUAAUAAUGUAGUUAUAGUGUAAAAUCACUAGCACCUUUCUAGUUCUUCAUAUGAUUUGUUUGGGGUUUUUUUCCUGUAACCCUAGAACAGGAUUUCUUGAAUCUGUAAUAGAUGGGGGGACAAUUACAGCACCUUUGUAAACUUUUUACUACUAAGUUGUUUACAAUAAUUUCAAAUAAUUCCAUGUUAUCAUCA